rnacentral:tRNA from 1 species
GCCUGGGUGGCUCAGUUGGUUAAGCAUCUGACUUUGGCUCAGGUCAUAAUAUCAUAGUUUGUGAGUUCGAGCCCCACAUCAGGCU